AUGGUCAGCCUGGAAGAAUGGAACACAGCAUACUCUAGUGGUGAGGACGGUGUGAAUGAGCUCAUUUUCCGUAAGCUCGAAGAAGUGGAUAUAAUUAAUUGUCCCAAGUUGAGGAUAACACCACACCUUCCUAGAGCUGCAUCUUGGAGUAUAAAGGGAAGUGAUAAUGUUCUCAUAUCAUGGGCAGAGAGCUUGUCACACAAUGGUGUUUCCUCGUCUUCUUCUCCAGGAGUAUCGACUAAUCUGACAGUUGAAAGCAGUAAGGUGCCUUUACAUCAGUGGAGAUUGCUUCACCAUCUACCUGCCCUCAGUGGUUUGCACAUCGAAUGCUGCAGUGAUUUGACAAGCUCACCGGAGAUCAAUUGGGCCCUCUAG
rnacentral:rRNA from 1 species